ACCCGCGACAGGACGGAAAGACCCCGUGGAGCUUUACUGUAGCCUGAUAUUGAAAUUCGGUACAGUUUGUACAGGAUAGGUAGGAGCCUUAGAAGCGUGAGCGCUAGCUUACGUGGAGGCAUUGGUGGGAUACUACCCUAAUUGUAUUGGAUUUCUAACCCGCAACUCUUAUCGAGUUGGGAGACAGUGUCAGGCGGGCAGUUUGACUGGGGCGGUCGCCUCCUAAAGAGUAACGGAGGCGCUCAAAGGUUCCCUCAGAAUGGUUGGAAAUCAUUCAUAGAGUGUAAAGGCAUAAGGGAGCUUGACUGCGAGACCUACAAGUCGAGCAGGGUCGAAAGACGGACUUAGUGAUCCGGUGGUUCCGCAUGGAAGGGCCAUCGCUCAACGGAUAAAAGCUACCCCGGGGAUAACAGGCUUAUCUCCCCCAAGAGUUCACAUCGACGGGGAGGUUUGGCACCUCGAUGUCGGCUCAUCGCAUCCUGGGGCUGUAGUCGGUCCCAAGGGUUGGGCUGUUCGCCCAUUAAAGCGGUACGCGAGCUGGGUUCAGAACGUCGUGAGACAGUUCGGUCCCUAUCCGUCGUGGGCGUAGGAAAUUUGAGAGGAGCUGUCCUUAGUACGAGAGGACCGGGAUGGACAUACCUCUGGUGUACCAGUUGUCGUGCCAAC
rnacentral:rRNA from 1 species